ACGUAGGGACCAAGCGUUGUUCGGAUUUACUGGGCGUAAAGGGCGCGUAGGCGGCAAUUCAAGUCAGCUGUGAAAUCUCCGGGCUUAACUCGGAACGGUCAGCUGAUACUGCUUUGCUAGAGUGCGGAAGGGGCAAUCGGAAUUCUUGGUGUAGCGGUGAAAUGCGUUGAUAUCGGAAGGAACUCCGGCGGCGAAAGCGAUGCACUGGCUGGUUUCUGACGCUGAGGUGCGAAAGCCAGGGGAGCGAACGGGA
rnacentral:rRNA from 1 species